rnacentral:tRNA from 2 species
GGGGAGAUACCAGAGUGGCCAAAUGGGACUGACUGUAACUCAGUUGUCUUACGACUUCGGAGGUUCGAAUCCUCCUCUCCCCA